rnacentral:rRNA from 1 species
AUGAUGGCCCGAAGGAAAGCUAUGGGAAUGGGUUGCUACGAGGAUGACAAGAGGGUGGAGGGGACACCCAAGAAGCAGAAGCCCAAUGAUGCAUGUUUAAGGGGCUUCUCUGGAGUUAGUAGUGUUGGUUUGAGUGGAGGCCUUGCCCUCUUUUGGUGUGAUAGUCUGCAUGUCGAAGUUCAGUCAGCUAAUGAAAGAUUCAUUGAUGUGCACGUGCGACUCUCUGAGCAUGAUCCUUUGUGGCGGCUGACGUGUGUCUACGGGGAGCCGCGUACUGAGAACAGACACCGUAUGUGGACAAUUAUGAGAGACCUCAAACAAUCCUCUGAUCUACCGUGGUGUGUCAUGGGUGACUUCAACGAAGCUAUGUGGUCAUUUGAGCAUUUUUCUACAACACCACGCAGCGAUAGCCAGAUGUUGGCUUUCCGGGAUACUUUAGAGGUAUGUGCGCUUGUUGAUCUCGGUUUUUCGGGCUUACCGUUUACUUAUGAUAACAAGCAGCGUGGAAGAAGGAAUGUGCGGGUGAGGCUCGACAGGGCUGUGGCGGACAACAGGUGGCGGGAUAUUUUCUCGGAAGCUCGGGUGGUUCACAAUGUUUCGCCAUGCUCGGACCAUGUGGCCCUCGUGCUGGAGUGUAUAAAGGAGGAUACUACUGCUAAUACCCGCUGUAGCUUGCGUCGGUAUGAGGCCUUCUGGGAGCGUGAUGCAUCUUUACCUGAGAAGGUUGCUGCUGUGUGGGAAGAAGCUGGCCAAAAGUUCAGUUUGGGUGAUGUCCAGGCUGAUGUACAGUGCAUCUUGUCGAUCAAGGCCAGCCCACGGCGACUGGGGGAUGUCCUCUCAUGGGCGCCAGAUACACGAGGUGUCUUCAGUGUUCGAAGUGCGUACAAGCUCGCGCUGGAGGACUGUACCCGCUCCACUACGUGCGCCACGAGCAGGGCACCGGACGGCACGCGUGUCGUCUGGAAGGCAGACACGUUCCACGCUCUUUGCAGAUGCCCUUUAGCUCAGUGGCUAUGGACUGUGAUGGCGCGCAUAUGGAGGAUGCCCAAGGUGGAAGCUAUCAUGAACACCAGUCCUGAGUGGAUCAUCCAUCUGCUUGAUCAUGUCAGAAACGAGGUUUAUCAUAACAAACCGGCACCACCAGUGGAGGCAUCUUGUAGGUUCCUGUGUGGCUACAUCAACUCACUGGUGGCCAUACAGCAGCACCCGCAUGCUGAUGAUUUAAAGGGGAAAACUGUGGUUGCUUAUAGAGGCCAGGAGGGGAGCCACAAGUCGCCUGUGGUGAGGCCGAGCAAAUCGCUGGAGCGUUGGAAGAAGCCGCCGCUUGGGUGGGUGAAAUUAAACGUUGAUGGCUCAUGGCGGCAGGAGGAUGAAACAGGGGGCGCUGGUAUGAUACUUCGCGACCACAUAGGCUCUAUUAUCUUUGCGUCGUGCCGUUUCAUCCAAAGAUGUACAAGUGCUCUAGAGGCGGAGAUCGCGGCCAUUCUGGAGGGUGUGUUGCUAGCAAUGGAUAGAAGCAAUGAACAUAUAAUGGUGGAGAUGGACUGCAUGGUGGCUGCACGGAUGAUCACGGCUCAGGUCCCAGAUAGAUCCUUGCUAGCUCCCAUGGUCAAUGAUAUCAAGCACCUCCUGAGUAGUAGAUCACAUGGAAUAAUGGCCAUCGGAAGGGACCAAAACAAGGCGAGCCAUGCCCUGGCUCACGUGGGGCGUGUGCUCCCCAAAACGGCUGUCUGGCUGCGCUACGCGCCGGACGAGAUUCUUGCUCUAUGUCAAUCUGAAUUGUAUUUCUUCAGACCAGUACAGAUAGAGAUACAGAUUGGAUUACGCGAGCCUGCGGAUAACCAAUGUUCUGGACGCACGUGCGUGCCCUUUUCUCCUCCUCUCGUUGUCCCCCUGCCAGAGCUACAGUGGUCUCGUCUCUCGGUCACAGUCGGCCAACCCCACUUGCUCUCCUCUAGAUCUCUCUCGAUCUCAUGGCAAUCUUUAUCCACAAUUCCAGCCCAGCUACCAGGCAAGCAAAAGUAUUCCCUCCAAAAUAAGAAGGGGCUGGCCGAGAGGGACACCAGGCCACCACGGAAUCACAUAAGAAAAAGUGUGACACGUGACCGCGUGAUCGGGCGGAACACGAAUCUUGAAGAAAUAUCUGGGGUUCACAUCACCAUCGAGACCACCAGGAAAGCGUGCGGGAAGACGGUGGUGAAAGUAGACGUGCCACGGGUGAAGACGGUGGUGAAAAUCAAUUUCUCCGAUGUUAAUCCAGAAACACCAAAAUAUCCAACAUGGCCUUAUAAGUUGGGUUAUAAAGGCCCAAAGAAUAUUGGGCAUUAUUGCAGACAAGCUAGGCAGAAUCUAUCCACCAUCCAUGCGCAAGAAAGGAAUUUGGAUUCCAAUAAGCAAGCACAAGGGAAAUCACUUUUUAUUGCUGGCCUGAGCUUGACCGGGCAGGCUAAGCAAAAGUCUCCCCCUACAAAACUAAAAAUGGGCCGCCCGAGAGCGACCCCGGGCCAGUCCAGGCCACCAACGGAAUCGCAUGAGAGAAAGCGACGUGGGCGUCCGAUCGGGCAGCGCACGGAUCUCGAGGCGGCAUCGCCGGUCCACGUCGGCCGGGGAGCGCACGGGAAAUUACGAUCGUGCCAUGCGGAAAGGACGACCGCGAUGGGAAAAGCGUAUCGAAAAUAUCGCGGUGACCGGUCCACGUGGCCAUCCCGAUCUGCGCUUUAUUCCCUUUUGCGGCCAUUAAAUUAUCCCCCGCCCCCGCCCACCUCAUCUCGCCCCACAAAAAUAUCUUCUUUCUUCCCCUGCUUGGCUAGGCUCCCCCCUCCCCCCUCCACCCUCCACCCACCCACCGCCGCCGGCCGCCGGAGUUAG